AUUUUGUACAGAUUCUUGUCACUUCAGAUAUAUAUAAAUAUAUACGUGAUAUAUGUAUGUGUAUAUAAUCGAUUGUGUUGGAAAAUUACAGUAACAAUUAUUGAGGUAACAAUGAGUACCUGCGUUUUUUGCAAAACAAAGCAAUCAAAAUAUUGUGGGCGAUCAUUUCACAAAUUUCCCGUGAAAGAUGUGUUGCGCCUUCAGCAGUGGUUAAAAGAAAUGAAGAGGAAGGACUGGAAGCCAAACCGAAAUAGCACAUUGUGUUCGGCUCAUUUUACAAAUGACUGCUUUGAUAGGACAGGAUUCCUAAUUACAUUGAAAAAGAACAGUGUACCAACUAUAUUUGACAACCCAAAAUCAGAGUGUUCAUCUUGUCACCGAUUAAGGGAAUAUGGACGUGGCUAUUCAUUCUUCAAGUUCCCAUUGGAUGAACCUGAUAUUAUGAAGCAGUGGAUCGCAAAUAUAAACAUUGGUCCGUGGUCUCCAUCAAGUGAUAGCUUUCUGUGUUCCGACCACUUUGAACUCUCUUGCUUUCAGAAGAAAAGUAAAAAUUAUAUAACUUUACGAAAAGGCAGUAUCCCAACGUUAUUUGGUAAGAUCUGAAACUAUUAAUCCCUUUUAGGUCAGAGAAAACUCAGUGUGCAUAAAGACACGUUGAUGUGAUGCACUAUUGCGUCAAUGUCGUCGAAGCGGUUAAUUACCUACAGAUUAUAAAGUGCUCUGUUACAGAAAAAUCGUGUGUGACACAUUUCUGUGUAUUUCCAUUGUCGUUAUUUAUUAGUAACUUAUCUGUAGGUGAAAACUUGCAGCAGACCGAAUUUCAGGAUGAAUCCGAUCGGCCCACCACAGUGAAUCUCCACUUUGAUGAUCAAUGGAUGGUAAAUGGAUUCCCUAACGGUUGAAUUAGUGUUAUACAAAUUUUUGAAUAAUCCGUAUGAAAUUCAGCCCACCAUAGGAUAAAGGAUAAUGGACGGAAACUUCUUAGAAUUGAGGACUUCUUUUGAACAUAAAGAAAAAUCACGCUUAAACACAAGUUUUUCGUCAUAUUAUUUAAUGAUCUUUUACAUCAUAUAAUUGUAAAUAAUAAUAUACCUUCGAAAAAAUGAUUUGUUCUUCAUUUAAUGUAUCAAACAUUAUUUUACUCGUCAAAAACUUUUUUGUGUGACGAAUAUAUCGUUAGAUUUAAAUAGCAUAUUUUACGCAGUUCAAAUCUAGCGCGCAUUCUGUGACAACUUUCUGUACAAGAUGGCGGAAAUUCAAGUGUUCAAUUGGACACACGAGCUUACACGUAGAGUAUACGGUAAUAUCCAAUCCAGUGUAUAUAUAUAUCAGUGCCGGCAUCGGGGCAAACCUUCUGAGUGGAACACGCCGUAAAACGUAUAAAGGCAGACUGGAUCAUAAUUUCUCCUAAAUCAGAAAUAAUGUGACGUUACUUGACCGACUGCGCGACUGGCAGUUUUUCAAGUAUCACCCGAGGUGGUUAGCGGUGGUCGUUGGAGGAGGUUGGCGGUGGUUGGCGGUGGUCGGAGGUGGUUAGGGGUGGUUGCGGGUGAUCGAGGUGGACGAGGAGGAGGACCAGGAAGCCGAGGAGAACGGGGAUUUCGGCAUGGCGAGCGAAACACAUUUAUAUAUUUGAUAGCAAUUGUAUAACCCGCGGUGGUCGGAGGUGGACGAGGAGGAAGACGAGGAUUUGUGCUCGUAUUCCAGGUAUAACCUCAGGUGGUAGGCCGUGAUUGAAAGUGUUUGGAUGAGGAAAACAGGGCAGAGGACGAAGAGGACGAGGAGGACAAAGGCGAGGAGGAGGACUGGGAUGAGAAGGAAGAGGAGAAGGACGAGGUCGACGAGGAGGACGGAGGUAGUGGAAGGUGGUAACGGGUAGUAGGCAGAAGUAGGAGUAGGAUUAGGUUUAGGUAUAGGAGUAGGAGUAGAAGUAGGAGUGUGAGUAGUAGGAGUUAGAGUAGGUGUAGGAGUUGGAGUAGGAGUAGGAAUAGGAGUGAAAGUAGUAGUGCGGGGCGGGUAAGGGGAGGGGAGGGUAGCCUCUACCCUACCCCUACCCGUACUCUACCCUACCCAACCCUACCCGCCUCUACCCUCCUCCUAUACUCCUACUUCUACUCCUACUCCUACUUCUACUUCAAUCUCACUACUACUUCUACUACGAUCUUACUCCAACUCCUGAUCCUACUCCUAUUCCUACUCCUAAUUCUGAAUAUUAAUGUUACGGAAUAUAUGGACUGCGUGUCAAAUUGAAUCCCAUAUCAAAACGAACAAUUAUUUUAUUGUCAUAUUAUAGCUGAUUAUAGUAGAUCAUCUAGUAUGUUUCUUAUAAAAUUAUAAAAUUUAUAGUAUGCAUUACGUAUUAAUCAUGAAUGAAUCAUAUAUAUCAAUGUUGUACAU
rnacentral:misc_RNA from 1 species